rnacentral:rRNA from 1 species
UACGUGAGGGGCUAGCGUUGUCCGGAAUCAUUGGGCGUAAAGAGCGCGUAGGCGGCCAGACAAGUCCGGUGUGAAAGUCACAGGCUCAACCUGUGAAUGCCGCUGGAAACUGUCUGGCUAGAGUCCGGAAGGGGCGAGUGGAAGUUCCUGGUGGUAGCGGUGAAAUGCGCAGAUAUCAGGAGGAACACCUAUGGCGAAGGCAGCUCGCUGGGACGGUACUGACGCUGAGGCGCGAAAGCGUGGGGAGCGAACAGG